GAAGCGGCAAAAGCUCAAUUUGAAAUCUGGUACCUUCGGUGUAACGAGAUUGUAAUUUGGAGAGGGCAACUUUGGGGCCGUUCUUUGUCUAUGUUCCUUGGAACAGGACGUCAUAGAGGGUGAGAAUCCCGUGUGGCGAGGAGUGCGGUUCUUUGUAAAGUGCUCCCCAAAAGUCGAGUUGUUUGGGA
rnacentral:rRNA from 1 species